AUUGAACGCUGGCGGCAUGCCUUACACAUGCCAGUCGAACGGUAACAGGUCUUCGGAUUCUUACUAGUGGCGAACGGUUGAGUAAUACAUCGGAACGUUCCCGAUCGUGGGGGUUAACGAGGCGAAAGCUUUGCUAAUACCGCAUACGAUCUACGGAUGACAGCGGGGGAUCUUCGGACCUCGCCCGGACUGAGCCGCCGAUGGCAGAUUAGGUAGUUGGUGGGAUAAAAGCUUACCAAGCCGACGAUCUGUAGCUGGUCUGAGAGGAUGAUCAGCCACACUGGGACUGAGACACGGCCCAGACUCCUACGGGAGGCAGCAGUGGGGAAUUUUGGACAAUGGGCGAAAGCCUGAUCCAGCCAUGCCGCGUGCAGGAUGAAGGCCUUUGGGUUGUAAACUGCUUUUGUACGGAACGAAAAGCCUCUUUCUAAUAAAGAGGGGUCAUGACGGUACCGUAAGAAUAAGCACCGGCUAACUACGUG
rnacentral:rRNA from 1 species